CAGAACGAACGCUGGCGGCGUACUUAACACAUGCAAGUCGAACGAGAAAGGGGGCUUCGGCUCCUGAGUAUAGUGGCGCACGGGUGCGUAACACGUAAGUUAUCUACCCUAGACUCCGGGAUAACGGCUCGAAAGGGGCGCUAAGACUGGAUAGUUCCUUAUAGGGAAAACUAUGAGGGGAAAGAGGGCCUCUCUGAGGCUUUUGGUCUAGGAUGAGCUUGCGGCCCAUUAGCUUGUUGGUGGGGUAAUGGCUUACCAAGGCAACGAUGGGUAGCUGGUCUGAGAGGAUGAUCAGCCACACUGGCACUGAGACACGGGCCAGACUCCUACGGGAGGCAGCAGUGGGGAAUUUUGCGCAAUGGGCGAAAGCCUGACGCAGUAACGCCGUGUGGAGGAUGAAGGCCUUCGGGUCGUAAACUCCUGUCAGGGGGAAAGAUGAUACUUACCUCAAUAAGGUGAGUGUUCGGACGGUACCUCCAAAGGAAGCCCCGGCUAAUUCCGUGCCAGCAGCCGCGGUAA
rnacentral:rRNA from 1 species